GAUGAACGCUAGCGGGAGGCCUAACACAUGCAAGCCGAGCGGGAUUUGUUGGUUAGCUUGCUAACUAACAAUGAGAGCGGCGUACGGGUGCGUAGCACGUGUGCAACCUGCCUUUAUCUGGGGGAUAGCCUUUCGAAAGGAAGAUUAAUACCCCAUAACAUAUUGAUUGGCAUCAGUUAAUAUUGAAAGCUCCGGCGGAUAGAGAUGGGCACGCGUAAGAUUAGCUAGUUGGUGAGGUAACGGCUCACCAAGGCUGCGAUCUUUAGGGGGCCUGAGAGGGUGAUCCCCCACACUGGUACUGAGGCACGGACCAGACUCCUACGGGAGGCAGCAGUGAGGAAUAUUGGACAAUGGGUGAGAGCCUGAUCCAGCCAUCCCGCGUGAAGGACUAAGGACCUAUGGCUUGUAAACUUCUUUUAUACAGGGAUAAACCUACUCUCGUGAGGGUAGCUGAAGGUACUGUAUGAAUAAGCACCGGCUAACUCCGUG
rnacentral:rRNA from 1 species